GUCACAUCUUGAGUGGAGGGAGUAAAGGUGCUGGCAAACCCAGAGAUGUGACCACCCAGUAGAAUAGGAAGAAGCCCAGGAAAACAGUAGUAAGGAUUAAGGUGAUAUAGGCUUUGGCUGCAUGUUACAGGGUCCCUGGGCUGGAACCCAAUAUAGAGAGCAGGGCUGAGUUCCUCUACCAGCCACUGGGUAGUGGUACAAAGCAUUGGAGAUGCCCCCCAGACAGCAGAAUCUGGAAGGCCCUUGAAUUCCCUGGAAGGGGAGGACUUCAGUGAUCUAGCCUGAGGGCCAAACCACAAAGAGGAAGUUGCAGAUUUGGGAGUGAGCAGAGCAGCAGAAUGAGAUCUGUCAGCCCAGUGUAGAGCAUAGAAUUAACAGGAAAGAGAAGGUUCCAGCAGGAGCGAUCUAAACUGUAUUAAAGAUGCAGCAAGAAAUUGUGAGAUCAGAGAGCACUGGUGGAUCAUCUUAUCUGGGAGAGCCUGUCUGCCCGAGUGGAAGAAGAGCUGAAGAUGCUAUAUAAAAUAACUCCCCUGAAUCCACACAAGUGUAAAGCAGAAGAUUUUCAUUUCUACAAGGUAUUCAUUGAACUGGUUUGCUAUUCCAGCCAUGAUCCAGAAGAUUCACCACCUCCAGGCAGGAGCCCAUUUGGAACAUGGAGCCAGCAUGAUCAGCAGGGCAGGCAAACUCUCCAUGCCAAACAAACAGAAAUGGAAAUUCAAAAGUUCCCAGUCCUUUAACAGGGGAAAGGCUGUUUUCUGUGUACAUGGCUGCUGGGCAGUGGAGUAUUGUGGGACAUCUCCUGGAGGCCAGUUAUGUUGCAACACAAUGUCUACCUAAGCAACACAGUGUCUACACUGCCAUUACGGUGACCUAACUAUAUCAAAUUUAAUGCUAUGCCUCUUGCGGAGGUGGAGUUAUUAAGUCGACAUAGUUACAUCAGCAGAAGGGACCUUCUAGUGUAGACAGACAUUAUUAGGUCAAUGUAACUGUGUACUGUAGACUAGGCUAAUGAUCUUGUCUAGCCUUAAUCUAUGAAUUUAAUGGUAUGAGUAUUAGAUGACUAGCCCAAAGAGAUGAUAGGAACAGGUAGGAACUUGAAAUCUUUCAUCAGUUACCAUAUAAAUUAUCAAUCUACAGCAAAUCAGCUAGUUAAUACUUCAGAACCAUAAGCCACUUCAGUAACUAGCUUUCCCAGAACUAUGACAACUCAAGUUAAAAAAACAAUUUUUAAAAGCAAGUAGUUAAAAUUUUGAUCAUUAAAUACACAGUUCCUUUAACAUGAUUCUAACUGAAAUCUACUUGAGUCAAAAUAUUAUUUUCCCUCCACUGCAUUCUUUCCUCAGUUCAGCUAGAAAAUGUGAAGGUGAGGAUGUUAAAUCACCGUUAUGGAACUAAACAUAUUUAAGCAAAAGCCAGAUUGAAAUGUUUUGACCAGAUAUUCAGUGGUUUGGGAAAUGCUUUUUAUAAAGCAGAAAAGCUAGGCUGUCUGUUAUACCCUGAUGGGGUAUUUUAUGAAGCACAAAGGCAAAGUGAGUCCCAGGUGGAAUAUUACUGCCUAAUAUAUGCAGAAACCUAAAGUUUUUAGUGUACCCUCACCAUCUGUUAUAGUUCUGGCUGGUAUGCUGUUGUCAGCAGCCACAUGCUUUCUGAUCACAGUAGAUAAACUAGAGUCUGAGUUCACUGACAAUGCACAUGAAGAAGAAACUAGACCUUCAGGGCUCAAUCCUGCAAGGUGCUGAGCCUUCUGGUCUCAUCAAGCAAAGCACUU